rnacentral:tRNA from 1 species
GCCCCUGUAGGUUAGUUUGGACAGACUACAGGCCUGCGGAGCCUGAGACUGGGGUUCAAAUCCCCACAGGGGCG